UACGGGGGGGGCAAGCGUUGUUCGGAAUUACUGGGCGUAAAGGGCUCGUAGGUGGCCAACUAAGUCGGACGUGAAAUCCCUCGGCUUAACCGGGGAACUGCGUCCGAUACUGGUUGGCUUGAGUUUGGGAGAGGGAUGCGGAAUUCCAGGUGUAGCGGUGAAAUGCGUAGAUAUCGGGAGGAACACCUGAGGCGAAGGCGGGCUACUGGGCCGAUACUGACGCUGAUGCGCGAAAGCCAGGGGAGCAAACGGG
rnacentral:rRNA from 1 species